CAGAGCUCGUAGCACAUUAAUAAAGCAGAAGAGUCGCUGUUUACAGUAACCAGAGGAAAUUCAGACGAAGAAAAAGGAAAUUCUCCUUUUCUUUUUUUUUACAUAUAUUUUCCUCUGCCAGUUCCUGCUACGAAAUCUUCCUGAAGAAGUUUUUUACAUUUUUUUUUGUGUUUUUGUGAAAUUGGUAGAAAGUGUGUGUGUGUAUGUGUUAAAUUAUGAUGUUGUCGCUGCAAAGCGAUCCACGGCAGCAGUAUCAGCAGCAGCAGUUGCUGAUCUCUAGGGUUUCAAACGAUGGAGUCACCCUCGGCGAUCCGAGGACAGAUUCGUCUUUUCCGUUUUAUACUGAGUCGGCUUUGUCCUCCGUCAAUAUCAAGUCCGAGUUGUCUCGUGAAGUUGACGAGGACACACUUUUAACUCUUGCUCAUCAGAACUACAAAGGUGGAAACUAUAAACAGGCUCUGGAGCAUAGCAAGGCAGUGUACGAGAGAAAUCCCCAGCGCACUGAUAAUCUUCUUCUUUUGGGGGCCAUAUAUUAUCAGUUGCAUGACUUUGAUACGUGCAUUGCAAAAAAUGAAGAAGCCCUCCGUGUUAACCCACACUUUGCUGAGUGCUAUGGAAAUAUGGCAAAUGCUUGGAAGGAAAAAGACAAUAUCGAUGUUGCAAUACGCUAUUAUUUGAUUGCAAUAGAGCUGCGUCCCAAUUUUGCUGACGCUUGGUCAAAUCUAGCUGGUGCAUAUAUGAGGAAAGGAAGGCUGAGUGAGGCAGCCCAAUGUUGCCGUCAGGCGCUAGCUUUAAAUCCUCGUCUGGUUGAUGCGCAUAGCAAUCUUGGGAAUCUGAUGAAAGCACAAGGGUUAGUGCAAGAGGCAUACAAUUGUUAUGUGGAGGCACUACGUAUACAACCUACAUUUGCCGUUGCGUGGUCCAAUCUUGCUAGCCUCUUCAUGGAUGCAGGUGAUCUUAACAGGGCAUUGCAGUACUACAAGGAAGCCGUCAAGCUAAAACCAAAUUUCUCAGAUGCAUAUUUGAACAUGGGAAACGUGUAUAAGGCUCUGGGAAUGCCACAGGAGGCCAUUAUGUGUUACCAGCGUGCUCUCCUUGUGCGACCAGACUAUGCAAUGGCUUUUGGCAACUUAGCUACUGUGUACUAUGAACAAGGUAACCUGGAAAUGGCCAUGCUUAAUUAUAGGAGAGCUAUUACCUGUGAUGCUGGAUUCUUGGAGGCAUAUAACAAUCUGGGUAAUGCUUUGAAAGACGCUGGUAGGGUUGAGGAAUCAAUUCAUUGCUAUCGUCAAUGCCUCUCACUUCAACCUAACCAUCCUCAAGCACUGACUAAUCUUGGAAACAUUUAUAUGGAGUGGAACAUGUCAAGUGCGGCUGCACAGUGUUACAAGGCAACUUUAGCUGUGACAACUGGGCUUUCAGCUCCUUUUAACAAUUUAGCCAUAAUAUACAAGCAGCAGGGUAACUAUGCAGAAGCCAUAUCUUGCUACAAUGAGGUACUCAGGAUUGAUCCCAUGGCAGCUGAUGGACUAGUCAAUAGAGGUAACACAUACAAGGAGAUUGGUAGAGUUAAUGAAGCUAUUCAGGACUAUAUGCGAGCCAUUACUAUUAGACCAAAUAUGGCGGAGGCUCAUGCAAAUUUGGCCUCAUCUUACAAGGACAGUGGAAAUGUGGAAGCAGCUAUAAAAAGCUAUAGACAAGCUCUGAUGCUACGUCCUGACUUCCCAGAAGCAACUUGUAAUCUUCUUCACACGUUGCAGUGUGUCUGUGAUUGGGAUGAUCGAGAGAAGAUGUUUAUUGAAGUUGAGGGGAUACUGAGAAAACAGAUUAAGAUGUCAGUUAUCCCAAGUGUACAGCCUUUCCAUGCAAUAGCUUACCCUCUCGAUCCACUGCUAGCUCUAGAGAUCAGUUGCAAGUAUGCCCAGCACUGCUCGGUAAUUGCAGCUCGCUUCUCACUUCCUCCUUUCAGUCACCCUCCUCCAUUGCCAAUAAAGGGUGGCGGCAGGAGUGGUCGGCUUAGGGUUGGAUACGUGAGUAGUGAUUUUGGCAACCACCCAUUAUCGCAUCUGAUGGGUUCAGUGUUCGGCAUGCACGAUAGAGAAAAUGUUGAGGUGUUCUGCUAUGCUUUGAGUCCAAAUGAUGGCACUGAGUGGAGGCUCCGCAUCCAGUCAGAAGCAGAGCAUUUUAUUGACGUAUCGUCCUUGACAUCUGAUGUGAUAGCUAGGAUGAUUAAUGAGGAUCAAAUACAGAUCUUAAUCAAUCUCAACGGUUAUACUAAGGGAGCCCGAAAUGAGAUCUUCGCAAUGCAGCCUGCUCCCAUCCAGGUUUCAUAUAUGGGGUUCCCUGGAACUACUGGAGCUAAGUAUAUACAUUAUUUGGUUACUGAUGAGUUUGUAUCACCUACGCGGUACUCACAUAUUUACUCAGAGAAGCUUGUCCAUCUUCCUCAUUGUUAUUUUGUCAAUGAUUAUAAGCAAAAAAACCUUGAUGUGUUAGAUCCAAGCUGCCAACCCAGACGCUCGGAUUAUGGGCUGCCAGAGGACAAAUUCAUUUUUGCUUGUUUUAAUCAGCUCUACAAGAUGGAUCCUGAGAUUUUUAAGACAUGGUGCAAUAUUCUUAAGCGUGUACCAAACAGUGCUCUUUGGCUCCUCAGAUUUCCAGCUGCAGGAGAGAUGAGGGUUCGUGCACAUGCUGCUGCACAAGGUGUGCAGCCAGACCAAAUUAUUUUUACAGAUGUUGCAAUGAAACAAGAGCACAUCAGACGCAGCUCCUUGGCAGAUCUUUGCCUCGACACGCCACUCUGUAAUGCACAUACCACUGGAACAGAUGUACUCUGGGCUGGUCUACCGAUGAUCACCCUUCCCCUUGAGAAAAUGGCAACUAGAGUUGCUGGUUCGUUGUGUUUGGCCACAGGGGUCGGUGAGGAGAUGGUUGUUAGCAGUAUGAAGGAGUAUGAAGAGAAGGCAGUGUCACUGGCACUGAAUCGUCCCAAGCUCCAAGAUCUCACCAAUAGACUCAAGGCUGUUCGUCUGAGUUGCCCUCUGUUUGACACAGGACGCUGGGUACGGAAUCUGGAGCGAUCUUAUUUUAAGAUGUGGAAUCUCUAUUGCUCUGGCCAACAUCCUCAGCCGUUCAAAGUGACAGAGAACAACAUGGAAUUUCCUUAUGACCGCUAGAUGUAAAAACAGUAGUCUAAACGGGAUUGUAGAUAAAUGAAAGAGCAUGUGAAGAGCUAUUUAUUCUAAAUCAGUGUCUCGCUAUUAUGGUAUUCAAUGGCCUUAGCUGAUGGAUGAUCCUGGUAAAAUCAUUGAAAAGUGAUUAAUUUGUUAAUUGAAAGUUGCUACUGAGGUUUACAGAGAUAUGAACAGUUACAGAGGUCCUCGAAAACACGGUUCCUCAAGAAUAUGAAGUAAAGGACAUAGGUGUAGUAGUCUGACUAAAAUAAACAGAAAUGAUGGUUUACCCGUUGUGAAGAGGAGGUUUACCCGUUUGGUAUCAGCCACCUACCGACCCUGACUAAUGGCGAGUUGCGUCGCCUAGUGGAGUGGCUCCUUAUCAUGAGUUUCUUACCCGAGACCUUAGGUUAAGGACGAAGGAAUUUUAUUCAUUUCAUCAUUUUGGUCAUGAACUUGUCCAACAUUACGAUGAAACAAACACUAGAUGCGUUGCAAAAGGUAAGUCUCCUGCCGUUCCAAUGGAGAUGUCCAAAGAUGGACUUGUACAAAAAUGUAGGUUACAACCGUUGCAAAGGGCGAUUGCAAGGUGAUUAACCAAGAUCUCGGCAGCGCAUUCUGCUGCUUUAUUUAAAGAUCGUAUUACUGGAAUUGUGCUUAAAUGCUAACACACCACUAGUUACAUGAGUCAAGACCCCGAAAUGAUUUCACGUGAGCAAAAUGUUUAUAACGUGUAAGCAUUUAUAUAUGAUUUAUAUAUCAAAUUCCCAAGAAUAUGGGAGUUGAAAAACGAAACAAAGAGAACGUGAAAAUCUGUUCGAAAA